rnacentral:rRNA from 1 species
ACGGUCCAGACUCCUACGGGAGGCAGCAGUGGGGAAUAUUGCACAAUGGGCGCAAGCCUGAUGCAGCCAUGCCGCGUGUAUGAAGAAGGCCUUCGGGUUGUAAAGUACUUUCAGCGAGGAGGAAGGCAUUAAGGUUAAUAACCUUAGUGAUUGACGUUACUCGCAGAAGAAGCACCGGCUAACUCCGUGCCAGCAGCCGCGGUAAUACGGAGGGUGCAAGCGUUAAUCGGAAUUACUGGGCGUAAAGCGCACGCAGGCGGUCUGUCAAGUCGG